UUUCUGUAUACGAAAAAAGCUUUGUACCAAAAGUGAUCACAGCUAACCAGUGGAAAUGUGUGUGCAAUUUAACAAAAUUACCUCAAAAACCAGGAAAUGAAAUGCCUUGUAGGCAGGACAAUGAUCCUGUGGGAGAGUGGAAAUGUUCAGUCUCUGGACAACAAGCUCUGCGAGCUGAAAGCCCAGAUCUCUUUCCAAUGAGAGACGAGGGAUUGCUGCAUUAUCUGCCUUACAAAAACUUGGAUGUCUGUGAAGAUUCCAGACUCAGCCAUCGAACCUGUGGGGUUCGCAGUGCACAAGGCGGACAGAGUGAAAGACCGCUCAGUGUCAAAACAGGUGUACUGCUUUGUGUGUGGAAAAUCAGAAAAAGGCCAAACAGAGGAGCAAAGCACCUGGGUAUUCACUAUGCCAUUUCUGCCUGUUGACUACAUAUAUUCAAUGUGAAUCAUGCAAGAGGUGGGUUAAUGUUUGGUGCCUCAACAUUAAUGUGCCACCAGAACAACAAGCAUGGAUUUGUGAUUGGUGUUAGUAAGCUCUUAUAGGAGCUUAUGCUGAAAGUGUGUUUAAACAGCAAGAAAUGUGUCUUGCGUAUUUGAUAUGUUAUGGAGUCACUUUUGUAGUGUUUAGUUAUGUUUGAUAUUGGUCUAUUGGUGUAUGCAAAUUUCCAAUGUGCUUAUGUUUUGUUAUUUUUCAUAUUCAUUAAUACAACAUAUUCCUUAUGAGUUUGGGCAGUACAGUAUAAUCAUUACAAGUUAUUUGAUUAUUUUAUAUGUAAUGUUUUUGUUGCAUUGUAUUCAUAUUACUGUCUUACAUUAUUUAUAUACUUAGUUACUCAAGGAUUACUCAUUUAUAUUAUUUAUAUUCUUCAGUUGACAUAUAAAAGAUACAUUUUCUUAUGAUUAAGUAAUGUUUGAACAGGAUGUUGGAAAUGUAAUCUAUGCAAUUUUUUUUUUAAUAUGCAAGGAUGUACUAAGUGCACUAUUUUAAGAGCUGUUAUUUGUUGCUAAUUGAUAUUUGAAGAUUGCAAGCUCUGCUUAUUUUUUUCAAAUGAUGAGAAACCACAGUCGCAUUUGUAUUUUUAACUGAUCUUAUCUAUAUCACCUCAUUAUCAUGUCAUACUGACCCAGCUCUGACUUUUGUCUCUUUUGUCUCUAAUUGUUGUUAAUGCAUUUUAGGGAAAGACUUUGUCUGCCUGGAUCUCUCUCUGCAUCACAUAUUGUUGUAGGGCAUGUUGUCUUCUGCUGGCCUUUUAAGUGAAUGCAGUUUGUAAAAACUCACAUGCAUUUGUGAAGGAGAAAUUAUUGUGACAUUUGAUAUGUUGACACUGGACAUUCAGUGGACAUUCGCAAGUAAAUAUGCCAUCAAAUCAAUACUUGCCCAUUUUGAUCGAUUGUGAAAAAAAUUAAAAAAGUAGGUUGACUGAUGUCGCUGAUUAGAAUAUGCAAAAAAUAUCUUUAUUGCACAUAAAAUGUGAAAGUUAUUGAAAGUGGAAAUGUGUGAAAUGUUGUGAAUGUGCGAAUAUAAAACCAACUUUACCCAAGUACUGGUGAGCCAUGCCCAUAUAAGGACCGAGCUUUGUGGAUCAAGGAAGUGGUAUGAUUGUGUGUAUGUUUUCCUCCCUUUCUGACUAAACUGUGUUGCUCAGAAUUCAAUUGCGGAAGUAGAAGGAUCUUGUGUAAGCAGGACUGAACUGGAACUGAGAUUUAGUGAAAUCCUAAGUUAUACUGAGUCUGCUAUUGUGAGCAGUUAAUUUGAUUUGUGAUUUUUAAUUUUCUAUUGUUAUUUUUUUCCCAAUUCUACUGUAUUUUAUUUAAUCCAAUUAUUUGGUUUUAUAUAAAUAAACAUUUCUUUUUUUUCUGAGAAACAAGGGUCAAAAAGGUAUUUCAAAGUGUUAUCGUUUGGAAGAAUUGUAUUUAAAUUUAAAGUUAUUCUUUACAUCAGAUAAACCAAUUAGAAACAACUUGAAUAAAUAAGUGAAAAUACAUUUUAUACACAUAUUAGCUGAACAAGGGUCAAUUAACUCUAUUAGCUUGAAUCUAAAUAGAUCAAAAAAGAGAAAAACAAUAAUAGUGACAAAACUAAAUAGAAAAUAUAAAUAUAUAUAAGAGGUUAGAAUAAGGUAAAAUUUAAAUUGUUUGGAGCAAGUCUUUACAUUUUUUUGCCAUUUCUUUUGUGUCAUGUUUUGAUGUUGCUUUAAAUUUCACUGCUUUAUUUUAUUUGUAUUCAUUAUUUUCCUAAAUACAUCUACCUGUUUCAAACGCAGCCAGUGUUGUCACUAUUGCCUUUCUCCUUGUUGACACCGUCUCUUGAGCGAGUCUAAUCUUCUGGUCACUGGUCCAAAUCUAGAAACCGUUAUUCACUGUUUGAAAGGAAGGGUUGUACUCGCACCCCAAGGCACGUUACACGUGCCACAUAUUUUCACCGUCAUGAAAUAAGUUAAAGUGCAAAUUGUGCAAUUUGACAGGUUACAACAGAACAGAAAAAUGUCAUCUGCUGUGGGCGUAAGGUUUCACAAGCAGAUACUCUUUGUUCUCUGUUAGCUACAUAAGGUUUUGAAGCUGCUUUUUGUGGAUUACUGCACACACUGUCUCCCAGCCACCAGUUGAACCAACUCCUGGACCGAAUAUACAACAGUUAUUUUCUCUUAUCUCUGCAAUCUUCCCAGCUCCCAUUUAAAAACAUGGGGAACGAGACUUCACGCUCAAAUACCCACGUUGCCAACGCAACUGGGAAGCAUCUUCGGAUUUUCUAUGGAGUGGAUACAAUGAGGCUGGAAGAAAUGGUGAUAAAUGUGGGGGCAGAGAUAGGAGGUUCAGCAUCAAAAACUGAAAAAUCAGUAUCAGGAAAGAUUUCCACCGAUGUGAAGAUGGUUUUUAAACCAGACUCCCGGAUCCGUUACGUUCACCUGCCGCAGAAUGAGACAUGUAACUUUGCAGGGGAAGGCACCAUCUAUGCCUCUGUCCUUUUGGAAGAUGAAAUGGAUGACAAAAUCUGCAGUGGUGUCAUUUGCCAAAAUUUCCGGAUCCCCAACGACCGGUCUUUUAUCGUGACUGCCAAUCAUACAAUCAAAUUGCAAAAGUAUGGUGCAGGCUAUUGGAUUGACGAAGAUGGCAAUAACCAUCGACCUUAACUUUCCUCUUCAUCCUCCUCCAUUAUCAUGUUGUGUUCUAAUUUUGAUAAGCAGAUAAGAUGGCCAUUUUGGCGAGGUUAAUUGGAAUAGUAAUAGUUUAGAUCAGUGGUUCUCAGCCUUUUUGACUCCAUGGCCCCCCAUUGUCCAAGACAAUAUUUGAAGGCCUCCUCGCCCAAAACUAGAUGUGUCUAAUUAAAAAUAAUUAAUCAUGCAUAAUUUUUGAUUCUAGAAAUUCAGAAAGAGUCUGUUUAUAAUUUGUAGGUAUACAUCUUAAAGUGUUUAUUAGCAUUUUAAUUAAGUAUAAUUAUUUUAAUAUUUCUUAUUUUAAAUGAAUUUUAUGUCAUCUUGAGGCCGCCUUGGAAGUGUGCUGAGGCCCCCUAGUGGGUACUAGUGCCCUGGUUGAGAACCACUGAUUUAGAUAACAAAAUCUUUAUGUUUUCGACAACAAUGUAUGUAAACAAAAAAAAAGUUUUGUAAUAAUGUUUAAUCCAUUUUCGGCAUGGAGACACACAUGAUGUACCCAAAAUAAAAAGGUUUCUGCAUAUGCAUAUUCAACAUAUGUUCACAAAGCUGACACUUCAAAGUUUACUGUUCAAGAAUCAGAAUUACUCAGACUGUUAUGAUAAUAAACAUAUAAGCUCAAACAUGAAAACAAAAAUAAAAAUAUUAAAAACAUUUUUAAAUGUAUAAAAAAAUGUUGAUGUAGGAUAUGAUUUUAGAAACAAUGAAACUAAAGCCACAAGUCUACUAAUGCGUCAAUUUAAAAUUCAUAAUAGGCCAUGUCAUGUGUGUUUUUAGAGAAGGCUAAUAAAAGGCUAAUAAAAUUGAUUUAUGGCACUUGUGAUAACAAGUUGCACUCCUGUAAA